AUUACGUUGAAAAAUUCCAAUUUUUUUUUGUUGAGCUAGGUACUUUUGGAAUCAUCCUCGUACUUAUAUUGUUUGAAUAUGUUAAUUAAAGUAAAUGUGGUUAACAUGAAUAUUUUUAAAGUUUCCACACAUAAUAACACAGUGAGUCUUCUACAAUACUAAUUGUAGUAAUGAAAUGAAAAUUAAUAAGUUGUAUCGCAUCUUCUAUUAUCAUUUUAUUUAUUAUUUCAUAUUAAGACUUAUAAAUAUUCAUAUAAUAAUUUUAGUUGUAAACUUUUAGUUCCGAGAAAAGUGAACAGUUGAUUGGUGCAAAUUGCACUGAUGAGGUAUUUUUGUCCAUAAUUAUUUAUUCAAUAUCCUUUUUCAUCUUAUUAUUUUUGUUGAAAACAUCAACGCCCAUAAAUCAACAUAUCGGUGAAAUUGAUAAAUAAUUAGACUCUUAAUAUUUCUGAUAUAUUCUGUCUGUCAUAUUUAUAAUUAAAAUUAAUUAUUCAAAUUUUAUUUUGCAGUAUUCAAAAGUAAAUAACCAUUUUAGGUUUUUUUGGACAAUAUCAACAAGAAGAAGAGAAUAUCCAAAGAUUAGGUUCCGAACAACAAAAAACUGAAAAGAAAUUAGAAGAAAUAUAAACAACGACAAUUUAUAAUGCUGAAAAAGUAUUGAUAAUAGAUUUGAAACGUUCCAUGGUUCUUUGGCAACUUGUCCAAAGAUGAUGAUUUGACUGAACCUCCAAAAAGUUUACAAGUAGAUUUAACACUACAAAAACUUUAAACACUUUUAUGGUUUAAGUGGAGUGAAAAAACAAAAACCUCCUUGAGGUAUCUUAGCAAAUGAAAUGGGUCUUGAAAAAACAUUUAUAAUGCUAUCUUUGAUGUUGAAAUGCAAUGAAAUGACUGUGGAAAUCGAGCAUAAAAAACAAUAUAAUGGAGGUACAUUAGUCGUUUGUCCAUUUAGUCUUCCGAACUGAUAAUAAGGAGAGUUACGAGCAAAGGACGGACCUAACCUAAAAAUAUUAACCGAAUAAGAUUUGAUUACAACUUCUUAUAGUAUAAUAAAUAGGGGAAAAAAGAAGUGCUGUUUUAAAGUGAAAUAGAUAAGAUGAAAGGAAUUACAGAUCUGUUACAUUUGCUAAUGUUCACAGAUCGACCACAUGGAUGUUAACGGGAAAAGGAGUUUAACAUGUUUGAGGAAGAAAUUACAGGAGAGACUGAACACCUAUAUAUGAUUACAUCAUCUCUUAUGUUAAGAAGAAAAAACUGAACUAAUUGGAAAGGAAUUACUGAGUAGCAAACAGAAACUUAUACCUGUUGAUUUAAAAAUUGUUUAUACCAAAAUAUUAAUAUUUUCUUGUAUAUUUUUCGCCAUUUAUCGUGGUAAAAAUCUUAAAAAUAUCAUCAAUCCAAACAUUUUCAAAAUUUUUUCCCGUUAACAUACAUCUGGUUAUUCUAAUCAAUCUGCAAAUGUGGCAGAUCUGUAAUUUCUAAUUUGAUGUGCUCCAUCUAAAACUAUUCUUCUUAUUUACUUUACAAACAGCACUUCUUCUUUUCCCUAUUUAUUAUAUCGUAUGAAGUUAUAAUCAAAUCUUAUUAGGUUAAUAUUUUUAGGUUAGAUUCUCUUUUAGAUCCACAGUAAGCCUCUGCCUCAGAAUGCUAACUGGACAGAAGAGUAAUGUAACUCCCUCGUAUUAUUUUUUACAUUAAAACAACUCUUAUUCUGUUUGUCGCUGCUAACACACGCUAACUCGAACUUAUUUCAGGCAAAUCAGCUUUAUCCUAACAUUUAAAUGCUAACGGAAACUACAGAAUCGAAAUAUAAAGAUAUAUGGAGAUAAAAUUAAUCAGUAUUAUAUUAUAAAUGCUUGUGGCAUUGUGACAAAACUAAACACCGAAGUGUACUACUUCUAAUAUAUUAAAUACUUAUGUAUUCAUGGUCUGGGAAUUAAUUACUUAAAAAUUACUUAAACUUUGUAAUGUAUUUGAAAAACAAAAAUUCAUUAACUUCAAUAUACAAAAGUUAAAUUACCUCUUGAUAGAAAUAUUAAGCGUAUUGAUUCUGAAUUAAUAUAAGUAUUGGAAAAUUCGGUAUAUAUUAGAAUUAGUACACUUUUGGGUUUAAUUUUGCCACAAUCCCACUACGGAAACGCCCUUAUACAUAUACAAAGGUAUACAUUCUAUUUAGUAUCCAUGAAUUGGUAUCUUGUUCCAUAAUUUCAAUUUUUUUUUCUUUUUUUUUGAUAACUAUAAUUGGUUUUUUUUUAUUCGUUUUAAAUGCUCUGUUGCAUUCUACUAAAUCUUCUUUUUCUUCAUUAUUAUCUAGACCUUAUCAUUUAUUUCUUGUUGGCUUUCAUUUUCUCUAUCUUCGAUUCCUUAAAUUUUCAUAUUAUUGUGCUUUAUUUAUCUUUCUACAUUUUUCAGUCUUUAUUUUCGUUUAGUUAUCAUUUGAUUAAGCUUUUGAUUUUAUUGUUUCAAUUCUUCUGUCUAUUUCUUCUUCAACGCUCUAAGGGCUUUCUUUUAUCUUGAAUCUUCUUUUUUAUCAUUCAUUUCUUCACUUAACAAGUUUCGCUAGUUCUAUCAUCUACUCAGUUCAGUACCCAAUAUUCUAUUUAGAUUCAGUCCGGCUCUGUAUUCCUAUUUUUGUUCAUAACUUUUUCUAUUUAUUAUCGAUUUUAAUAAUUUUGAUUUAUUUUAUAUCUAGUUUUUCUCUUUUACUCGAUUUCCUCUGUCAUUUCAUGUUAAUAUUUCUAGGUUAGGUCCUUUCUUCUUCCUCAUUUCACUUUAAAAACAGCACGUCUAUUUAUUAUACCAUAUGAAGUUGUAAUCAAAUCUUAUUCCGUUAAUAUUUUUAGGUUAGGUCCGUCCUUUGCUCUAACUCUCCUGACUAUUAGUUCGGAAGAUUAAAUGGACAAACGACUAAUGUACCUCCAUUAUAUUGUUUUUUAUGCUCGAUUUCCACUGUCAUUUCAUAGCAUUUCAACAUCAAAGACAGCAUUUUAAAUGUUUUUUCAAGACCCAUUUCAUCUGCUAAGAUACCUCCAGGAGGUUUUUGUUUUUUCACUUCACAUAAUCCAUAAAAAUGUGUAAAGCUAUUGUGGUGUUAAAUCUACUUGUAAACUUUUUGUAGGUUCAGCAAAAUCAUCAUCUUUUGGACAAGUUACCAAAGAACCAUGCAACUCUUUUAAUUUAUCUAUUAUGGAAUUAUAAUAGUUCCAUUUCCAGAAAUCUUUGAUUAAAAAAUUUCUCCCAUGAUAAAGCUUGUGACUCAAUCCGUACUUCUUCUAAUUUCUGUGAUUAUAACCUCUCUUAUUUAUUUUUUAUUAUCAUUUGGUAAAUCGAAACCUUCUCUUACAUCUGUAGUACUUUUUGAUUUACAACAAAAUAUUAAUAUUUUUGUCAAAUAUUGAUAUCAAAAAGCUGAUGAAAUCAUGAUGCAGAAUGGUAUGACGAAAUUGUAGAAUCAGAAUCUAACCAACAAAUUUUUAAAUCUGUUGAAUUUUCUUAUAACGGUUAUGCUUGAUGAGAAAAUGGAAUUUUUGGAAAAUGAUUGUAGAUCAGAUAUUGCAUUGGAUUAUAUUGACCAAUUGAACAAAUGACUGCAAAAACGAAAAGCGGAUUUCAUUAUCUUCAACUGUUGUCGAAGUUGAUUUAAAUUUGGUUGGAACAAAUCAAUUGACCCUAUUGGAUCUCCACUGGAAUCCCGAAUUAGAACACCAGACGCAGGAUCGUAUUUACAGGGUUGGUGGCGACAGAUACCCACAUAGACAAAAGAAUUUUGGAUAUGCAAAUAAAGAACAUAUAAAUUGCUAAUAAUUCGAUGUUAACUAGAUCUGUUGUACAAGUCGAUGGAGAAAAUUGAAAUUAUUAUUUGAUAUAUAAAAUAUCUUCACUAUGAUUUAAAUUUUUUAUGUAUGUCAUUUCAUUUUGACAUGUUUUAUUGUUUAAAGUACUUUUGGAAUUGUACUUGUUUGAAUAAGAAUCUAGUUUCCAUUAUUUGUCACUAUUUUAAUUCAACCCAUCUUCAUUAUUAUUUCAUAUUCACUUUCUAGUUCUGUGCUUGUGCUGUCAAUUAAACGCAAAGAAGUCUAUUCUAACCUAAAACCAUUUUUAAUAAGUGCAGUCGAUGCAUCCAAUGAUUCGAGGUACAUUAUAUUUCAAAAAGAACCUCAACCAUUUCAAAUUCAUAUUCAACUGAGUUAAAUUUAUAUUUGUAAUAAAUAAAAACUAAAUAAAAAGUUUUAACUACUGAAGUUCAUCCAAAUAUAUUCUUAUUGUGUCAAAAUGAAUUUGAAAGUUUCUUUGGUUACCCAAAUAUUUUUUUUUAAAUUAGUCAUCACUGAGGUUUCUUAAAACAACUCCGUGGGGCUCUGCAACAACUUCUUCCAGCAGUCCUGUUACAUAAGAUAGCAUUAGAUGGCUAGUGUAUGGUCUCCUAUAUCAACUACACAUGACCACUAGGUGGCAGCAGAACGAACGUCAAGUAGAAACGUCAGUGACACUCCUCCGCUUAUCUUUGAUCUUGUAAAUGAUAUAAGUUUCAUUAAUAAAAUAGUAUUCAAAAAGUCCUGACUAUAAUUUAACAAGUUAUAAAAUAUGUAACAAGUCUAAUAUAC